rnacentral:rRNA from 1 species
CCUACGGGACGCAGCAGUAGGGAAUCUUCGGCAAUGGACGAAAGUCUGACCGAGCAACGCCGCGUGAGUGAAGAAAGUUUUCGGAUCGUAAAACUCUGUUGUUAGAGAAGAACAAGGACGUUAGUAACUGAACGUCCCCUGACGGUAUCUAACCAGAAAGCCACGGCUAACUACGUGCCAGCAGCCGCGGUAAUACGUAGGUGGCAAGCGUUGUCCGGAUUUAUUGGGCGUAAAGCGAGCGCAGGCGGUCUCUUAAGUCUGAUGUGAAAGCCCUCGGCUCAACCGAGGAAGGUCAUUGGAAACUGGAGGACUUGAGUGCAGAAGAGGAGAGUGGAAUUCCAUGUGUAGCGGUGAAAUGCGUAGAUAUGUGGAGGAACACCAGUGGCGAAGGCGACUCUCUGGUCUGUAACUGACGCUGAGGCUCGACAGCGUGGGGAGCAAGCAGGAUUAGAUACCCGAGUAGUC